rnacentral:rRNA from 1 species
AACGCUAGCUACAGGCUUAACACAUGCAAGUCGAGGGGCAGCAUGGUCUUAGCUUGCUAAGGCCGAUGGCGACCGGCGCACGGGUGAGUAACACGUAUCCAACCUGCCGUCUACUCUUGGACAGCCUUCUGAAAGGAAGAUUAAUACAAGAUGGCAUCAUGAGUCCGCAUGUUCACAUGAUUAAAGGUAUUCCGGUAGACGAUGGGGAUGCGUUCCAUUAGAUAGUAGGCGGGGUAACGGCCCACCUAGUCUUCGAUGGAUAGGGGUUCUGAGAGGAAGGUCCCCCACAUUGGAACUGAGACACGGUCCAAACUCCUACGGGAGGCAGCAGUGAGGAAUAUUGGUCAAUGGGCGAGAGCCUGAACCAGCCAAGUAGCGUGAAGGAUGACUGCCCUAUGGGUUGUAAACUUCUUUUAUAAAGGAAUAAAGUCGGGUAUGGAUACCCGUUUGCAUGUACUUUAUGAAUAAGGAUCGGCUAACUCCGUGCCAGCAGCCGCGGUAAUACGGAGGAUCCGAGCGUUAUCCGGAUUUAUUGGGUUUAAAGGGAGCGUAGAUGGAUGUUUAAGUCAGUUGUGAAAGUUUGCGGCUCAACCGUAAAAUUGCAGUUGAUACUGGAUAUCUUGAGUGCAGUUGAGGCAGGCGGAAUUCGUGGUGUAGCGGUGAAAUGCUUAGAUAUCACGAAGAACUCCGAUUGCGAAGGCAGCCUGCUAAGCUGCAACUGACAUUGAGGCUCGAAAGUGUGGGUAUCAAACAGGAUUAGAUACCCUGGUAGUCCACACGGUAAACGAUGAAUACUCGCUGUUUGCGAUAUACAGCAAGCGGCCAAGCGAGAGCGUUAAGUAUUCCACCUGGGGAGUACGCCGGCAACGGUGAAACUCAAAGGAAUUGACGGGGGCCCGCACAAGCGGAGGAACAUGUGGUUUAAUUCGAUGAUACGCGAGGAACCUUACCCGGGCUUAAAUUGCAGAUGAAUUACGGUGAAAGCCGUAAGCCGCAAGGCAUCUGUGAAGGUGCUGCAUGGUUGUCGUCAGCUCGUGCCGUGAGGUGUCGGCUUAAGUGCCAUAACGAGCGCAACCCUUGUUGUCAGUUACUAACAGGUUCCGCUGAGGACUCUGACAAGACUGCCAUCGUAAGAUGUGAGGAAGGUGGGGAUGACGUCAAAUCAGCACGGCCCUUACGUCCGGGGCUACACACGUGUUACAAUGGGGGGUACAGAGGGCCGCUACCACGCGAGUGGAUGCCAAUCCCCAAAACCUCUCUCAGUUCGGACUGGAGUCUGCAACCCGACUCCACGAAGCUGGAUUCGCUAGUAAUCGCGCAUCAGCCACGGCGCGGUGAAUACGUUCCCGGGCCUUGUACACACCGCCCGUCAAGCCAUGGGAGCCGGGGGUACCUGAAGUGCGUAACCGCGAGGAGCGCCCUAGGGUAAAACUGGUGACUGGGGC